GCCCGGUUAGCUCAAUCGGUAGAGCGUGAGACUCUUAAUCUCAAGGUUGCGGGUAAGUUAAUACUCUCUCCUAUGAGAUUAUUUACACCAUAUGCUAACAACACCUAAAAGGUUCGACCCCCGCAUCGGGCU